UACGUAGGCAGCGAGCGUUGUUCGGAGUUACUGGGCGUAAGGGUGCGUAGGCGGUUGUUUAAGUUUGGUGUGAAAUCUCCCGGCUCAACUGGGAGGUGCGCCGAAUACUGAAUGACUAGAGUGCGGGAGAGGAUAGUGGAAUUCCUGGUGUAGCGGUGAAAUGCGUAGAUAUCAGGAGGAACACCGGUGGUGUAGACGGCUAUCUGGACCGUAACUGACGCUGAGACACGAAAGCGUGGGUAGCAAACAGG
rnacentral:rRNA from 1 species